AUGUACUGGAUCCACCAGAGACCCCGACAGGCGCUGGAGUGGCUGGCGGGGAUCACCAGUGGUGGCACCACCGCCUACACGUCGUCUUUCAAGGACUGGGUGUCCGUGACCCUGCUGGAGUGCGGGGGGGACCUCCAGCCCCCCGGGGGGUCCCUGACGUUGCUGUGCCGAGGGUCUGGGUUCGAUUUUGGGAAUUUCAACAUGGGCUGGAUGCGUCAAAGACCUGGGAAGGGGCUGGAAUUCAUGGCAGGGAUCAGCAACAACGGUGGCAACAUUGGCUACGCGCCAUCGGUCAAAGGUCAGUUCACGAUCUCCAGGGACAACGGGCAGAACUCGGUGACGCUGACCAUGAAAAACCUCAAGGACGAGGAUUCCGGAUCCUAUUUCUGUGCCAGACGUCACAAAUAUUGCGGCGCUAGUUAUGUUUUUAUUGAUGAUGCUCUCAGCGAUCCCAUGCCCUUGAUGGUCACCAAAUGCUAG